GGGGAAACCGCAUUUCAACACUGUGUCAGCUGGUCCUGGGUAAACUCCGUUGUUCCGGCAGUAUUUACCCACGGCAAGCUGAUAGGGCGCUGG
rnacentral:pre_miRNA from 1 species